GGGGUACAUUGUGCUUGCACAGAUGACGACCGGCGCACGGGUGCGUAACGCGUAUGCAAUCUACCUUUUACAGAAGGAUAGCCCUUAGAAAUUAGGAUUAAUACUUCAUAGUAUAUAGAUGUGGCAUCACUNUUAUAUUAAAGAUUUAUCGGUAAAAGAUGAGCAUGCGUUCUAUUAGUUAGUUGGUAAGGUAACGGCUUACCAAGACUGCGAUAGAUAGGGGUCCUGAGAGGGAGAUCCCCCACACUGGUACUGAGACACGGACCAGACUCCUACGGGAGGCAGCAGUGAGGAAUAUUGGACAAUGGGCGAGAGCCUGAUCCAGCCAUGCCGCGUGCAGGAAGACUGCCCUAUGGGUUGUAAACUGCUUUUAUACAGGAAGAAACACUCCCUCGUGAGGGAGCUUGACGGUACUGUAAGAAUAAGGAUCGGC
rnacentral:rRNA from 1 species